CACGAACGCUGGCGGCAGGCUUAACACAUGCAAGUCGAGCGCCCCGCAAGGGGAGCGGCAGACGGGUGAGUAACGCGUGGGAAUCUACCCAUCUCUACGGAAUAACGCAUGGAAACGUGUGCUAAUACCGUAUACGUCCUUCGGGAGAAAGAUUUAUCGGAGAUGGAUGAGCCCGCGUUGGAUUAGCUAGUUGGUGGGGUAAAGGCCUACCAAGGGGACGAUCCAUAGCUGGUCUGCGAGGAUGAUCAGCCACACUGGGACUGAGACACGGCCCAGACUCCUACGGGAGGCAGCAGUGGGGAAUAUUGGACAAUGGGCGCAAGCCUGAUCCAGCCAUGCCGCGUGAGUGAUGAAGGCCCUAGGGUUGUAAAGCUCUUUCACCGGUGAAGAUAAUGACGGUAACCGGAGAAGAAGCCCCGGCUAACUUCGUGCCAGCCGCCGCCGUAAGAC
rnacentral:rRNA from 1 species